UGUUUAGAAUUCUGUUUAAUUAUUUUAAUUUACUGGUAUUUUUGUUUUAUCAAGAGUUAAAACUGGGCAAGUGAAUUUUGUCACCAUGGCCAGUGAAUUUUCAAAUCCACUGGCCCCAUGGCAAGUGAAUUAGAAAUAAUAAUUCUAGAACCUCUGAAUCAUUUCCCGAUGUUAAAGGGACAGUCUCAAAGUAUAAUAAUUAAGAUGGCAGUGUACAGUUAGCUCACCUGUGUGAAAACAGUUUGCUUGUUGUAUGAUCCAUCUUUGAAAACUGCUUAUUAGGAACAUGAAGUAAUUCGUUAAGCUUGAGAGAGAGAGAGAGAGAGAGAGAGAGAGAGAGAGAGAGAGAGAGAGAGAGAGAGAGAGAGAGAGAGAGAGAGAGAGAGAGAGAGUCUUCGCCAGGAAAGGCGAGUGAUCACUCCCGCUCUCCUCCACACUCGCCUGGAAGGUUAUAGGAGAGUGGCAAACUGAUCGCCUCUCACUACAAUAUUUAAUGCAUUUUAUUUGACACAUCAUAUGAUUGCUCGCCUAGAACAAUUUCAGGAGAGUCAUCUUCAGCUCGCCUUGAUUUUGCUGGUGGCGAGGACUGCACACACACACACACACACACACACACACACACACACACACACACACACACACACACACACACACACACACACAUUGUGACAACAUGCCUUGACCUAUGUAUUUUUAUGUUGUUAUAAUAUAGGUAACAUUAAAAUAUAUUUCAGUACCAAACAUUUGAACAUUUUGUGAAUGCCGUAGUUUUUAACCAACCGAACCUCAACUUGCGCAUCGCCACCUACCGGUAAAGAAGACACAACUCCGGGAAUAUCUACCCUCGGACCUGCCUCUCCAUGACGACGGUCAUCAUGUAUGACGUCAUACAUUUGUCUUAUAUAGCAAGUCUGUGUUUGCCUUUGGAUGACGAUCAGUGCGACUAAUUACAGUGCAGUAUGGGUAGUGGCGAGGCUUCUGGGAACGAGAGUGGUACCGAAAUUAUCGAAGUAGUCGUCGAACCCCGUCCAGUAGUGUGGGCGAUCCUCUGGUUUCUCAUAUUCAUCUUCUUCGCAUGGCCUAUCUCUUUCUGUAUUGCGUGGAUUUACGUCAUCAUACUUCCGUUCACUGUCUGCAUCGACACGCUUAGAGAAACGAAUGACGCCAUUUUCACAAUGGUCCAACUUCCGCUGACUUGCAUGGAGAACAUGAUCACCUGUAAGCCAAUUUGUACAUAACUUUUAAAAUAAGAUCAAAACAUUUCAAAAAUUAAACUGAAGAAGAAUGAAGGUCAAGGAAAGAAAGAAAAAAAGAAAAGAAAGAAAAGAAAAAACCCCACCGCAAACAACAAAAAUAACACCAAUUAAAGGAACAAGGAAAUGGUCAUGUCUUUCAAGCUGUAAUUUGAUUCGUCCGGGCGGCGACUUUGCAGAUAACAUUUGGAAAUAUCACGUCUAAUAUAUGAAUUUGUAAUUCUGUACAUUUGGAAAUAUCACGUCUAAUAUAUGAAUUUGUAAUUCUGUACAUUUGGAAAUAUCACGUCUAAUAUAUGAAUGAACUGAUGGAGUAAUGUCUGUCACUCUGUACAUUCUUAUAAUCUAGCUACAUUAACGGUGCUAAAGCCAGGUUUAUACUCCUCGCCAUUAAUGUAUACAUUUGAUUUUAUAUUGUCAGUUUUGGUUUUUUUAUUUAUUUACUUUUGUUGUAAUAUACUGAUGGAAAGAAAUAGGAGAUUAAACCAACACUAACAGCAAAAGGGGACUGCAACCAAAGUCAUCAUCUAUGGUGUUGUGAAGUCAGCCUUGAUAUUAAUAGUCAAAAUCUCGCAUUGUUGACAUUCAAUCCACAUUACAUAUCUGCGUUUUACACAGGCAUUACGACGCUACUAGUGAAACAAUCUUUCCGUAUUUCUUUCCAUCAGUAUAUAUUUAUACAUUUAUACUCUUAUACAUUUAUACUCUUAUACAUUUAUACACUCGUUAACUGAAUAAACUGUUAUUGAAUGUA